ACAUGCAAGUCGAGCGGCAGCGAGUUUUACACUGAAUUCUGGAAGCUUCUGGGUAAUAUAGAAGAUCUAUUCAAGAAUUUUGUGUAAAAUGUCGGCGAGCGGCGGACGGCUGAGUAACGCGUAGGAAUUUGCCCCAAAGUGAGGAAUAACUGCCCGAAAGGGUAGCUAAUGCCGCAUAUGGUCUUCGGAUUAAAGCCUUCGGGCGCUUUGGGAGAAGCCUGCGUUGGAUUAGGUAGUUGGUAGGGUAAUGGCCUACCAAGCCGACGAUCCAUAGCUGGUCUGAGAGGAUGAUCAGCCAGACUGGAACUGAGACACGGUCCAGACUCCUACGGGAGGCAGCAGUGAGGAAUCUUCCACAAUGGGCGAAAGCCUGAUGGAGCAACGCCGCGUGAAGGAUGAAGGCCUUCGGGUUGUAAACUUCUUUUAUGAGUGAAGAAUAUGACGGUAACUCAUGAAUAAGCACCGGCUAACUACGUGCCAGCAGCCGCGGUCAUACGUAGGGUGCAAGCAUUAUCCGGAGUGACUGGGCGUAAAGAGUUGCGUAGGCGGUUUAAUAAGUGAAUAGUGAAACCUGGUGGCUCAACCAUACAGACUAUUAUUCAAACUGUUAAACUCGAGAAUGGUAGAGGUAACUGGAAUUUCUAGUGUAGGAGUGAAAUCCGUAGAUAUUAGAAGGAACACCGAUGGCGUACGCAGGUUACUGGGCCAUUUCUGACGCUAAAGGCACGAAAGCGUGGGGAGCGAACCGGAUUAGAUACCCG
rnacentral:rRNA from 1 species